UUCUUAAAAAGAUCUCGGAGUUUAUAUAUUAAAUGGUGAACUUAAAUUUACUUUUUCUUCAAAAAUUUCGAAAAGUUACUGUUCUUGGCACGCUUUCCUUUCUUUAAAUGUUUCUUUGCCCAUUUGUUGCGAUUGUUGUCACGAGGACCAGAAGUAGAGACUUUAGGCUGAUCAACUUCCAUACCAACGUUAUCGGAUACUUCUGAACUGCUGACUUCUUUCAAGGAAUUAUCGG